UGGGGAAUUUUGGACAAUGGGCGAAAGCCUGAUCCAGCAAUGCCGCGUGUGUGAAGAAGGCCUUCGGGUUGUAAAGCACUUUUGUCCGGAAAGAAAUCCUCUGGGUUAAUACCUCGGGGGGAUGACGGUACCGGAAGAAUAAGCACCGGCUAACUACGUGCCAGCAGCCGCGGUAAUACGUAGGGUGCAAGCGUUAAUCGGAAUUACUGGGCGUAAAGCGUGCGCAGGCGGUUUUGUAAGACGGAUGUGAAAUCCCCGGGCUUAACCUGGGAACUGCAUUCGUGACUGCAAGGCUAGAGUAUGGCAGAGGGGGUAGAAUUCCACGUGUAGCAGUGAAAUGCGUAGAGAUGUGGAGGAAUACCGAUGGCGAAGGCAGCCCCCUGGGCCAAUACUGACGCUCAUGCACGAAAGCGUGGGGAGCAAACAGGAUUAGGAUACCCUGGUAGUCCACGCCCUAAACGAUGUCAACUAGUUGUUGGGGAUUCAUUUCCUUAGUAACGUAGCUAACGCGUGAAGUUGACCGCCUGGGGAGUACGGUCG
rnacentral:rRNA from 1 species